rnacentral:sRNA from 1 species
GUUCGCCUGCGUCGCUCCGGGAGCUGCCGACGGACCGAGCGCCCCCGCCCCCGCCCGGCCGCCCGCCCGCCGCCGCCAUGCCCUUCUCCAACAGCCACAACGCACUGAAGCUGCGCUUCCCGGCCGAGGACGAGUUCCCCGACCUGAGCGCCCACAACAACCACAUGGCCAAGGUGCUGACCCCCGAGCUGUACGCGGAGCUGCGCGCCAAGAGCACGCCGAGCGGCUUCACGCUGGACGACGUCAUCCAGACAGGCGUGGACAACCCGGGUACGCGACCCCUCGGGGCCGGGGUCCCGGCCCCCCCUCCCCGCGCGCAGCCGCAGGGUCCUCAGCAGCGCGCUCGGGCCCGGCAGUGACGUCACUGUCCCCGUCCCGCGCCCCCUCCCCCAGGCCACCCGUACAUCAUGACCGUGGGCUGCGUGGCGGGCGACGAGGAGUCCUACGAAGUGUUCAAGGAUCUCUUCGACCCCAUCAUCGAGGACCGGCACGGCGGCUACAAGCCCAGCGAUGAGCACAAGACCGACCUCAACCCCGACAACCUGCAGGUGCGGGGCGGCGGGCGGGCCGGGCGGGCGGUGCCGGGGUCUUCGGGCGCUCACUCCCGUCUCGCCCCCCAGGGCGGCGACGACCUGGACCCCAACUACGUGCUGAGCUCGCGGGUGCGCACGGGCCGCAGCAUCCGUGGCUUCUGCCUCCCCCCGCACUGCAGCCGCGGGGAGCGCCGCGCCAUCGAGAAGCUCGCGGUGGAAGGUAGGGGCCGGGCGGGCCGAGGGGCGGCGGCGGCCGCGUCCCCCUCCCGGCGCGGUCCCCGCCCGCUUUUGUUUACGUCGCCCGGGAGCGGCAGCCGCCGUCGCGCUCUUAUCUGCGUGCGCCCGGGUUCAGUUU